rnacentral:sRNA from 1 species
CUUGGUCAUUUAGAGGAAGUAAAAGUCGUAACAAGGUUUCCGUAGGUGAACCUGCGGAAGGAUCAUUCACAAACGAGUGUUUUAUGGCACUCUUUAAAAAUCCAUAUCCACCUUGUGUGCAAUGUUUGUUGGGAAAGUCUUUUCUUUCCCUUCAUAAAUAUCAACCUAUAUCUUUAACAACAUUCGUCUGAUAACAUAUUAUGAAUAUACUUAAUUCAAAAUAUAACUUUCAACAACGGAUCUCUUGGCUCUCGCAUCGAUGAAGAACGCAGCGAAAUGCGAUACGUAAUGUGAAUUGCAGAAUUCAGUGAAUCAUCGAAUCUUUGAACGCAUAUUGCGCUCUUUGGUAUUCCGAAGAGCAUGCUUGUUUGAGUAUCAGUAAACACCUCAACCUCUCUUUUUUGAUAAAAAAAAGGGAGGGUGGACUUGAGCUAUCCCAACGACCUUCACCGGUAGGCGGGCGGCUUGAAAUGCAGGUGCAGCUGGACUUUUAUCUGAGCUAAAAGCAUAUCUAUUUAGUCCUCGUCAAACAGGAUUAUUACUUUUGCUGCAGCUAACAUAAAGGAUAAUUGUCCUCUUUGCUGACUGAUGCAGGAUUUUACGACACUUUAUGUGUUGUUCAACUCGAUCUCAAAUCAAGUAAGACUACCCGCUGAACUUAAGCAUAUCAAUAAGCGGAGGAAAAGAAACUAACAAGGAUUCCCCUAGUAACGGCGAGUGAAGCGGGAUGAGCUCAAAUUUAAAAUCUGGCAGUCUUUGAUUGUCCGAGUUGUAAUCUAGAGAAGCAUUAUCCGCGCUGGACCGUGUACAAGUCUCCUGGAAUGGAGCGUCAUAGAGGGUGAGAAUCCCGUCUUUGACACGGACUGCCAGGGCUUUGUGAUGUGCUCUCAAAGAGUCGAGUUGUUUGGGAAU